AGUCGUUCUCAUUGAUAAAUCAGUUGAGGCUGUUCAGCCUCCAAAUUUGUUAAUCAAAAAUC
rnacentral:sRNA from 1 species